UACGUAGGUGGCGAGCGUUGUCCGGAUUUAUUGGGCGUAAAGCGCGCGCAGGCGGUUGCCUAAGUCUGCUGUGAAAUCUCCCGGCUCAACUGGGAGGGGGCGGCGGAGACUGGGUGACUGGAGGGACCUAGAGGCCGGUGGAAUUCCUGGUGUAGCGGUGAAAUGCGCAGAUAUCAGGAAGAACACCCGUGGCUAAGGCGGCUCUCUAGUACGGUACUGACGCUGAGACGCGAAAGCGUGGGGAGCGAACAGG
rnacentral:rRNA from 1 species